rnacentral:rRNA from 1 species
UACGUAGGUGGCAAGCGUUGUCCGGAAUUACUGGGUGUAAAGGGCGUGUAGGCGGGAUAUUAAGUCAGAUGUGAAAUUCCAAGGCUCAACCUUGGCGCUGCAUCUGAAACUGAUGUUCUUGAGUGAUGGAGAGGAAAGCGGUAUUCCUAGUGUAGCGGUGAAAUGCGUAGAUAUUAGGAGGAACACCAGUGGCGAAGGCGGCUUUCUGGACAUUAACUGACGCUGAGGCGCGAAAGCGUGGGGAGCAAAC